rnacentral:rRNA from 1 species
GCGAGGCCGAAAGGCGUAGUCGAUGGGAAACGGGUUAAUAUUCCCGUACUUGGUGUUACUGCGAAGGGGGGACGGAGAAGGCUAUGUUGGCCGGGCGACGGUUGUCCCGGUUUAAGCGUGUAGGUGUGUGUUCCAGGUAAAUCCGGUUCACUUUAACACUGAGGCGUGAUGACGAGGCACUACGGUGCUGAAGCAACAAAUGCCCUGCUUCCAGGAAAAGCCUCUAAGCAUCAGGUAACAUCAAAUCGUACCCCAAACCGACACAGGUGGUCAGGUAGAGAAUACCAAGGCGCUUGAGAGAACUCGGGUGAAGGAACUAGGCAAAAUGGUGCCGUAACUUCGGGAGAAGGCACGCUGACACGUAGGUGAAGUGAUUUACUCAUGGAGCUGAAGUCAGUCGAAGAUACCAGCUGGCUGCAACUGUUUAUUAAAAACACAGCACUGUGCAAACACGAAAGUGGACGUAUACGGUGUGACGCCUGCCCGGUGCCGGAAGGUUAAUUGAUGGGGUCAGCGCAAGCGAAGCUCCUGAUCGAAGCCCCGGUAAACGGCGGCCGUAACUAUAACGGUCCUAAGGUAGCGAAAUUCCUUGUCGGGUAAGUUCCGACCUGCACGAAUGGCGUAAUGAUGGCCAGGCUGUCUCCACCCGAGACUCAGUGAAAUUGAACUCGCUGUGAAGAUGCAGUGUACCCGCGGCAAGACGGAAAGACCCCGUGAACCUUUACUAUAGCUUGACACUGAACAUUGAGCCUUGAUGUGUAGGAUAGGUGGGAGGCUUUGAAGUGUGGACGCCAGUCUGCAUGGAGCCGGCCUUGAAAUACCACCCUUUAAUGUUUGAUGUUCUAACGUGGACCCGUGAUCCGGGUUGCGGACAGUGUCUGGUGGGUAGUUUGACUGGGGCGGUCUCCUCCUAAAGAGUAACGGAGGAGCACGAAGGUUGGCUAAUCCUGGUCGGACAUCAGGAGGUUAGUGCAAUGGCAUAAGCCAGCUUGACUGCGAGCGUGACGGCGCGAGCAGGUGCGAAAGCAGGUCAUAGUGAUCCGGUGGUUCUGAAUGGAAGGGCCAUCGCUCAACGGAUAAAAGGUACUCCGGGGAUAACAGGCUGAUACCGCCCAAGAGUUCAUAUCGACGGCGGUGUUUGGCACCUCGAUGUCGGCUCAUCACAUCCUGGGGCUGAAGUAGGUCCCAAGGGUAUGGCUGUUCGCCAUUUAAAGUGGUACGCGAGCUGGGUUUAGAACGUCGUGAGACAGUUCGGUCCCUAUCUGCCGUGGGCGCUGGAGAACUGAGGGGGGCUGCUCCUAGUACGAGAGGACCGGAGUGGACGCAUCACUGGUGUUCGGGUUGUCAUGCCAAUGGCACUGCCCGGUAGCUAAAUGCGGAAGAGAUAAGUGCUGAAAGCAUCUAAGCACGAAACUUGCCCCGAGAUGAGUUCUCCCUGAGACUUUAGGUCUCCUGAAGGAACGUUGAAGACGACGACGUUGAUAGGCCGGGUGUGUAAGCGCAGCGAUGCGUUGAGCUAACCGGUACUAAUGAACCGUGAGGCUUAACCUUACAACGCCGAAG